rfam:Astyanax mexicanus chromosome 2, whole genome shotgun sequence.
UGGGGUGUAGCUCAGUGGUAGAUCAUUUAACUGCAGAUUAAGAGGUCCCCGGUUCAAUUCCGGGUGCCCCCU